rnacentral:rRNA from 1 species
UUGAACGCUGGCGGAAUGCUUUACACAUGCAAGUCGAGCGGCAGCGCGGGGCAACCUGGCGGCGAGCGGCGAACGGGUGAGUAAUGUAUCGGAACGUGCCCAGUCGUGGGGGAUAACACAGCGAAAGUUGUGCUAAUACCGCAUACGACCUGAGGGUGAAAGGGGGGGAUCGCAAGACCUCUCGCGAUUGGAGCGGCCGAUAUCGGAUUAGCUAGUUGGUGAGGUAAAGGCUCACCAAGGCGACGAUCCGUAGCGGGUCUGAGAGGACGACCCGCCACACUGGAACUGAGACACGGUCCAGACUCCUACGGGAGGCAGCAGUGGGGAAUUUUGGACAAUGGGCGCAAGCCUGAUCCAGCCAUUCCGCGUGAGUGAAGAAGGCCUUCGGGUUGUAAAGCUCUUUCGGCAGGAACGAAACGGCUUCUCCUAAUACGAGAGGCUAAUGACGGUACCUGAAGAAGAAGCACCGGCUAACUACGU